rnacentral:rRNA from 1 species
GGAAUAUUGGUCAAUGGACGAAAGUCUGAACCAGCCAAGUAGCGUGCAGGAUGACGGCCCUAUGGGUUGUAAACUGCUUUUAUACAGGGAUAAAGUCGGGAACGUGUUCCCGUUUGUAGGUACUGUAUGAAUAAGGACCGGCUAAUUCCGUGCCAGCAGCCGCGGUAAUACGGAAGGUCCGGGCGUUAUCCGGAUUUAUUGGGUUUAAAGGGAGCGCAGGCGGAAGGUUAAGCGUGACGUGAAAUGUACCGGCUCAACCGGUGAUGUGCGUCGCGAACUGGCUUUCUUGAGUGAGUACGACGCUGGCGGAAUUCGUGGUGUAGCGGUGAAAUGCUUAGAUAUCACGAAGAACUCCGAUUGCGAAGGCAGCCGGCGAGUCCUCAACUGACGCUAAUGCUCGAAAGUGCGGGUAUCGAACA